CUACGGGCGGCAGCAGUCGGGAAUUUUGGGCAAUGGGCGAAAGCCUGACCCAGCAACGCCGCGUGAAGGAUGAAGUUUUUCGGAAUGUAAACUUCGUAAAAAUAGGAAGAAUAAAUGACGGUACUAUUUGUAAGGUCCGGCUAACUACGUGCCAGCAGCCGCGGUAAUACGUAGGGACCAAGCGUUGUUCGGAUUUACUGGGCGUAAAGGGCGCGUAGGCGGCAAUUCAAGUCAUCUGUGAAAUCUCCGGGCUUAACUCGGAACGGUCAGAUGAUACUGCUUUGCUAGAGUGCAGAAGGGGCAAUCGGAAUUCUUGGUGUAGCGGUGAAAUGCGUAGAUAUCAAGAGGAACACCUGAGGUGAAGACGGGUUGCUGGGCUGACACUGACGCUGAGGCGCGAAAGCUAGGGUAGCAAACGGGAUUAGAUACCCCAGUAGUC
rnacentral:rRNA from 1 species